UAGUCCACGCCGUAAACGAUGUCUACUAGCCGUUGGAAGACUUGAUCUUUUAGUGGCGCAGCUAACGCACUAAGUAGACCGCCUGGGGAGUACGGUCGCAAGAUUAAAACUCAAAUGAAUUGACGGGGGCCCGCACAAGCGGUGGAGCAUGUGGUUUAAUUCGAUGCAACGCGAAGAACCUUACCAAGACUUGACAUCCUAGAAAUUUAGCAGAGAUGCUUUAGUGCCUUCGGGAAUCUAGUGACAGGUGCUGCAUGGCUGUCGUCAGCUCGUGUUGUGAAAUGUUGGGUUAAGUCCCGUAACGAGCGCAACCCUUGUCCUUAGUUGCUAACAUUUAGUUGAGAACUCUAAGGAGACUGCCGGUGACAAACCGGAGGAAGGUGGGGACGACGUCAAGUCAUCAUGGCCCUUACGUCUUGGGCUACACACGUGCUACAAUGGUCGGUACAAAGGGUUGCCAAGCCGCGAGGUGGAGCUAAUCUCAUAAAACCGAUACGUAGUCCGGAUUGGAGUCUG
rnacentral:rRNA from 1 species